GGGCCUGUAGCUUAGUUGGCAGAGCACCGCAUUCGCAUUGCGGGAACAGGAGUUCGACUCUCCUCAGGUCCA
rnacentral:tRNA from 1 species